rnacentral:tRNA from 1 species
GCUCUUUUAGUUUAUGUUAAAAUGUAAUUUUGAAGUGAUUGAGAAGGUUUGGGGCG